ACCACCCAGGACCGGCUGUGCCCAGCACAGGAGAGCCCCUGCUCUCCCAUCUGAGCCCCUGGCUGGUCUAAUCCCACCCCUCCCACGCAGCCCCUCACUCUGGACUCCUGGAUCCCUCUGGAUCCCUCUGGAUCAGGACUGACUUGGCCUUGGGCCUUUAUUUCUCUCCAAGCCUUGAUGGGGGCAGCUCACAUUGGGAAUAAUUUCUACAGGUGUUCUGUGUUUUAACUCAGCUCUCCUACUCAGCUGCCUAAAAGUGGUACAGUCACCAAGUGCCUAAUGUGAGCUCUUGAGGCUUAUUUCAGUCAUCCAGUUUGGGAACAUUCUGGUUCAAAAGGGGAAAAUAAGCUUUGUUAGGUCAAUGAAUGCUUAGAAAACUCAAACUUUUAUUAAUUAAAUAAUACUCAAGAGUUCCAAACUGAAUAUUCAGUAAAUGAGACAGAAAAAAAGCCUGAUGCUUUUCUAGUCUAAUUUAAGAGAAAUAGAUAAGAUUAAACCAAUGUGAGAGAGAGAAUCCAGAUGUUGCUGUUACUCUGUGGUGGAUGACUGCUUUCCCCAAGAAAAAUUCAGUGGAGAAAUUCACGCCCUAAGGCCGGUAUUUAUUGCUUGAGGAGCAAAUUGUGGGCCGAGUUUCUCUUCCCUCCAGUCACAAAGGGAGUUGGCAUCAGGCUUGGUGGAGAAAUGUGGGUCCUAACCCAUGGUGCAUCCCCUGCUCUGAGGGCCACCUCCUCCUCUGCAGUCCACUCCAACGUGGAGGAAGCACAGCCACAAUCAGCCACUUAAAACCUCACCUUUCAAAUACUUCUUGUCCUGCACAGUGCCAAGACCUGAGGAUGAACAGGUUCCUGUGGAUGACACCAGCAGAGACAGAAAUCAGAUUGCCUUGGGAACAGAGGAAGAAUAUUCUUCCCUGACCUUCACAUGGGCUGAAGCAACUGUGCUCACUCCUUCACCUUCCAAUCAUUUGCCUCUCUGCCACGAGCUGCUAAAAUAGGGCAGAGAUACAGCCAGUCUCUGUGGCAGUUUGGCAUCUAAAAUUAGCUCCUGCAACAGAAAACACCUCGAGUUUGGCCUAAUUAAGUUCUGUUGAUGUUAUUGCUAUUUCUUCACUAUUUCAGUAGGAGGAGGUGGGUGGCUGCUUGUGUGUUCCAGGACCAUCAAACAUCAACAACCACGGUGACAACACAAAUGCUACAUGCUAUACCCAGGGAAAGUGCAGGAAAGUCACUGCCAGCACUGAAAUUAUCAGAAUAAAGGCAAAAAUAAUA